GUAGGUGGCAAGCGUUGUCCGGAAUUAUUGGGCGUAAAGCGCGCGCAGGCGGUUCUUUAAGUCUGAUGUGAAAGCCCACGGCUCAACCGUGGAGGGUCAUUGGAAACUGAAGAACUUGAGUACAGAAGAGGAAAGCGGAAUUCCACGUGUAGCGGUGAAAUGCGUAGAGAUGUGGAGGAACACCAGUGGCGAAGGCGGCUUUCUGGUCUGUAACUGACGCUGAGGCGCGAAAGCGUGGGGAGCAAACAGGGAUUAGAUACCCUGGUAGUCCACGCCGUAAACGAUGAGUGCUAAGUGUUAGGGGGUUUCCGCCCCCUUAGUGCUGCAGCUAACGCAUUAAGCACUCCGCCUGGGGAUACGGCCGCAAGGCUG
rnacentral:rRNA from 1 species